GACGAACGCUGGCGGCGUGCCUAAUACAUGCAAGUCGAGCGGAACUGGGGGAGCUUGCUCCUUCCAGUUUAGCGGCGGACGGGUGAGUAACACGUGGGCAACCUGCCCUGCAGAUCGGGAUAACUCCGGGAAACCGGUGCUAAUACCGAAUAGUUUGGCGCCUCUCCUGAGGCGCUACGGAAAGACGGUUUCGGCUGUCACUGCAGGAUGGGCCCGCGGCGCAUUAGCUAGUUGGUGGGGUAACGGCCCACCAAGGCGACGAGGCGUAGCCGACCUGAGAGGGUGACCGGCCACACUGGGACUGAGACACGGCCCAGAAUCCUACGGGAGGCAGCAGUAGGGAAUCUUCCGCAAUGGACGCAAGUCUGACGGAGCAACGCCGCGUGAGUGACGAAGGUUUUCGGAUCGUAAAACUCUGUUGUGAGGGAAGAACACGUACCAACUAACUAUUGGUACCUUGACGGUACCUCACCAGAAAGCCACGGCUAACUACGCGCCAGCCGCCGCGGUAA
rnacentral:rRNA from 1 species